UUUUCUUGUUCUAUACUUCUGUUUAUUUUCAUGUCCUUUUCAUUUCGUUCAAUUAAUUUCAUUCCAUUUCCUUUUCUAAUAUUUUUUUUCCUUUGCGAUCGCUACCUUUUCCAUACAUAUCUUGUUUUUUCCUCCAUAGUAUCCACCUUGUAAAACAAAAUUCAAUUAAAUUGAAAAAUUAAUAUUUUUAACAAAUUUUUGAAAAGUUCGAAACUGCUGAUUUACAAUUUUCAUCCAUUCUUUGCUUUCCAUUUUCUCCAUUUCUCCUCUACUUGCGACACUUGGAAAUCCAUGUAUAACCGAGUUUAAGGUUAUUUAAUAAGCGAAUGUGUAGUUUUAUUAAUACAAAGAUUGUUGCGCUCUUAUAAUCAACUAUUUGCAUAAAAUUCAUCUCUUUUAUUUUUUAAUUUAUCAUAAUCUAAAUAAUGAAACCCCUCAACAUGUCUGAGGACUCCUCCUGAUUGCGAAAAAAACACCCAUUCACCAAUACACCAAUUUAGAACCGGUUUUCUAAUGUUUUUCUAUUAAUAAUCAAAUCAUCCUCAUAAAGUUCUUCCUUCAAGCUCACCAUUUUUUAUUUUUUCAAGUAUUCAUUCAUUCCAAAUUUUGCUUUUUCAAUCCAUCCAAACCUGUAAAGCCGAAACCGUUCCUGUCCAAAGAUCCUUCUCUUUACUUUCAUCCUCUUCUUCACUUUCAUCCUUCUCAUACUUGUAAAUUCUAUUUCCAUAACAUACACACUUUAUCUGCAUGUUUAUAGGGUUCGCUUGUACUGUGUUUACCGUCAAAUCGUAAUUUCCCGUCACAUGCGUUUCUUCCACAAGAUCCUUGUUUCUCCAUCUACGAAUACUUCCAUCCGUCCCACCUGCCAAAAUUUCAUCCUUUUUAUCAGUGUCGAAAAGAAUCCUUUGGUUCGUAUCGCCACGAUGCCCUUCAAGAGCAUAUACCAUGUCGCGCACAUACCGUAUAUCCCAAACUUCAAUCUUAUCACUGCAUCUGCUUCCAACAUAUAACUUUUCUCCAUCCUCACACCAUUGUAGAUGUGUCACUCCGUUUCCUCUUUCAAUCGAAAACUCUAGCUGACAAGGGCGACGUCCGCAAUCAUUAUAAAUCCCAACUCGAUUUGAAUACGUUCCCACUGCCAAUGUUUUCGAAUCCAUCGGAUUCAAGGAAAAGCAUGACUGUAUACCCUUAAGACUAAAUUCCCAAAGAGGGACUUUAUAUCCAUGGGUUACCGUUGUCAUGACAGGUUCUUUACAUCCCGUUCUUAUAUUAAAAUGAUGGAGACAGUUUUUAUCACCCGCAAUCAAAUACUCCCCAUCGUUGGUAAACUGUAAACAAUGCGAUCCUUGAUAUCUCUCUUGGUGAUCUAUCAUGUGAUAUGAAGCCUUGUUCUUUCCUGUAGUAAAAUUGAUCAACUUGAUAGGUUGAUCCCUACUAGACACUGCAAAAAGGUUACUGGAAGGAUCGUCAAGUUUCAUUCUCGAAUACCAACUGUAACUGUAAACUGUUUCCGGUGAUUGAUAUUUAUACGACAGAUGUUUUGAAAAGUUCAAUGGUCCAUCAGCCUUUUUGGAUAAAUCGGAAAACGGCACAUUCCAACAGUUAAGACAUUGAUCCUCUGUUAACGAAAGUAUAGUCGAUCCAUCCGGCGACCAUCUUGACGAAUGAAAAAAAUUCAAUGGCUUUGUUGGACUUUGAGCAAUCACAUUUGUUCCUAAAUUAAUACUUCCGCAUACAUAGCCGAAAUUUUGACUUUUCUUCUUAUGCACCAAGUCAUCCUUCUGAUCCUCAAAGGAGUUUACACAAUUAUCCAUUCCUUCCUCAAGUUAACCUACUUUAUUAACCAUGUAUGGAUUAUGGCUCUUCACAAUGUCAACUUUAAUUUUUUAAAUAUAUAAUAUAUAUAUGGAUUUCUUUCUAUCUGGU